rnacentral:lncRNA from 1 species
CUGCUUCCACAUUGUUGCUGUGAUUGAUCUCGCUCCCUUCCGUCGGCGCUGAUGCAGGUGCUGAGCCUGGAACAACGGACGGAACCGGAUCUGAAGGCGGUGGUGCUGGUGGGGAUGCCAACGGCGAAUCUGACGGAGAUCCAGUUUCUGGUGAAGGAGAUGGAAGAGGAGGAGAUAGAAAUGGUGAAUUGGCGGGGGCGGCGGAUUCUUCGGUAGAUGGAGAUGGAGAUGGUGACUGUUCAGGUGUUUCCGCGGAGGAGGAGGAGAUUUGCAAUAAAAACAAGGCUAAAACAAGCACUAAUCCAGUGAUGCUACCCAUAUUUGAAUCUGAACUAGGAAAUGGCCAGAGAGGAGAGAGAGAGGGGGG